rnacentral:lncRNA from 10 species
AGAAAACUCCUGCCAUGAAUAGAAUUCUGCCAAGCAGGAAGAAUAUUUGCUGAAGUGGAAGUGGUGGGAAUCUCACGAAGAAGGGGAACAGCCAGUACCAGCCAUUACAAAAGGCGGAUUUGAAAAUGUUUAAAAUAUUUUUCCUCAGACUUGGCUACAAAUUAAAAUAAUCCAGGGAGUUUGUUUUUUUCGAUAAAGUAUUCAUAGAACCCUUCCCCAGAGAUGUUGUUUUCAUUAAAUGAAGCCCAGGAUACAGCAAAAUAAAUACAAUUAUAUUUCUAAUAGCCAGGGUUGCCACCAUGGGUGAACGAAUAUACAAAUAUGGAAUGCAAGAGAAUGCGAAAGAACCCUAUGUUGUUAGAUUUCAACUGGACUUAUUAAUAUGGAGUUUUGUUUAGAUGUAUCCCUCAUUGUAGAUCUGCUCGCUGAAAGGACAUAGAAACAAUAAAACCACACUAGUCACAAGCACACACAGUAGUACUCAGAUCAGGUUUCUAAUCACUGCUAAAAGGAACUAGUACUCUUUGGAAAGUCGGGUCAGGGAAUAACUUCUUUGGCCAGAAAGCAAGGAAGAUCUCAAAGAAAGAUGAUGAUGUCUUCACUCAGUUUGAACAGAAUCCCAGUAGCCAUAUCUGGAAAAAAUUUAGCAUAAAAAUAAUGACAACGAUAGAUUAUAUUACAUUGAAGAAAACAAAAGUCCAUUAAUCUCUAUACUCAAAGUAAGGGAGA